AGCAUAAAGCGAGGCAAGGUCCAGCUAUUCCACCCGGCAUACAAGCUUAUGGAGCAGCCCCCUUUGAAGAUCUCCAGGUGGACUUCACAGAGAUGUCAAAGUGUAGAGAUGAUCGAGUGUGGAUCAAGGACUGGAAAGUUGCCUGUUUGUGUCCACGGUGGAAAGGACCCCAGAUUGUCGUCCUGAGCACUCCCACCGCUGUGAAGGUGGAAGGAAUCCCAGCCUGGAUCCAACACAGCCAUAUAAAACCUGCAGCGCCUGAAACCUGGGAGGCAAGACCAAGCCCAGAUAACCCUUGCAGAGUGACCCUGAAGAAGAUGACAAGCCCUGCUCCAGUCACCCGGAAGCUGACUAGUCCAAGCACGGCCGAAGCCUGAGGAAGCUCAUCAUGAGAUUCAUUUUUCUUAAAUUUUGGACUUAUACAGUAAGGGCUUCAACUGACCUUACUCAAACUGGGGACUGUUCCCAGUGUAUUCAUCAGGUCACCGAAGCAGGACAGCAAAUUAAAACAAUCUUUCUGUUCUAUAGUUAUUAUGAAUGUAUGGAAACAAUAAGAGAAACUUGUUUGUAUAAUGCCACUCAGUACAAGGUAUGUAGCCCGAGAAAUGACCGACCUGAUGUGUGUUAUAACCCAUCUGAGCCCCCUGCACCACCGUUUUUGAAAUAAGAAUAAGAACUGGCCUUUUCCUAGGUGAUACAAGUAAAAUAAUAACUAGAACAGAAGAAAAAGAAAUCCCCAAGCAAAUAACUUUAAGAUUUGAUGCUUGUGCAGCCAUUAAUAGUAAAAAGCUAGAAAUAGGAUGUGGUUCUCUUAACUGAGAAAGGAGCUAAAGAGUAGAAAUAAAUGUUUGUCAUGAGUCAGGGGUUUGUAAAAAUUGUGCCUAUUGGCCAUGUGUUAUUUAGGCUACUUUAAAAAAGAACAAAAAGGACCCGGUUUAUCUUCAGAAGGGGGAAGCCAACCCCUCCUGUGCUGCCGGUCACUGUAACCCACUAGAACUAAUAAUUACCAAUCCCCUAGAUCCCCAUUGGAAAAAGGGAGAACGUGUAACCCUGGGGAUCAAUAGGACAGGGUUAAACCCUCAAGUUGUCAUUUUAAUUAGAGGGGAGGUCCACAAGUGCUCUCCCAAACCAGUAUUUCAAACCUUUUAUGAGGAGCUGAAUCUGCCAGCACCAGAACUUCUGAAAAAGACAAAAAAUUUGUUUCUCCAAUUAGCAGAAAAUGUAAUUUUCUUACUUAAUGUUACUUCUUGUUAUGUACGCGGAGGAACCACUAUCGGAGACAGAUGGCCUUGGGAAGCCCGAGAGUUGGUGCCUACUGAUCCAGCUCCUGAUAUAAUUCCAGUUUAGAAGGCCGAAGCUAGCAACUUCUAGGUCCUAAAAACCUCAAUUAUUAGACAAUACUGUAUAGCUAGAGAAGGGAAAGACUUUAUCAUCCCUGUAGGAAAGCCUAAUUGUAUAGGACAGAAGUUGUAUAACAGCACAACAAAGACAAUUACUUAGUAGGACCUAAACCACACUGAAAAGAAUCCAUUUAGUAAAUUUUCUAAAUUAAAAACUGCUUAGGCUCAUCCAGAAUCUCAUCAGGACUGGACAGUUCCCUCUGGACUAUACUAGAUAUGUAGGCACAGAGCCUACUUUCGGUUACCUAAUAAAUGGGCAGACAGUUGUGUUAUUGGCACUAUUAAGCCAUCCUUUUUCUUAUUACCCAUAAAAAUGGGUGAGCUGCUAGGUUUCUCUGUCUACGCCUCCCGAGAAAAGAAAGGCAUAGUUAUAGGAAACUGGAAAGAUAAUGAGUGGCCCCGUGAAAGGAUCAUUCAGUAUUAUGGGCCUGCCACAUGGGCACAAGAUGGCUCAUGGGGAUACCGAACCCAUCUACAUGCUCAAUUGGAUCAUACGGUUGCAGGUCAUCUUAGAAAUAAUUUCUAAUGAAACUGGCAGAGCUUUGACUGUUUUAGCUUGGCAAGAAACCCAAAUGAGGAAUGCUAUCUAUCAGAAUAGACUGGCCUUAGACUACUUGCUAGUAGCUGAAGGAGGAGUUUGUAGAAAAUUUAACUUAACCAAUUGCUGCCUACAAAUAAAUGAUCAAGGACAGGUGGUUAAAAACAUAGUCAGGGACAUGACAAAGGUGGCACAUGUGCCUGUACAGGUUUGGCACGAGUUUAAUCCUGAGUCUUUAUUUGAAAAAUGGUUUCCAGCUAUAAGAGGAUUUAAAACCCUCAUUGUAGGUGUAUUGCUAGUGAUAGGAACUUGCUUGCUGCUCCCCUGUGUAUUACCCUUGCUUUUUCAAAUGAUCAAAGGUUUUGUAGCUACUUUGGUUCAUCAGAAAACUUCAGCACACGUGUGUUAUAUAAAUCACUAUCGCUCUAUCUCACAAAUAGACUCAAAAAGUAAAGAUGAGAGUGAGAACUCCCACUAAAAAGUGAAAAUGCUCAAAGGGGGGAAAUAUGGUAUGAGACCACCACUUCUCCUGUUGUCCUUCCCAGUUUCUCCCCAACCUCCCCUUUUCCCUAGUUUGUAAGACAGCAAAAAAGGGAGAAAGCAAAAAGUUGGAAAAAACAGAAGUAAAAUAAAUAGCUAGACGACCUUGGCGCCACCACCUGGCCCCGGUGGUUAAAACAACAAUAAUAUUAACCCCUGACCAAAACUACCUGUGUUAUCUGUAAAUCCCAGACAUUGUAUGAGAAAGCACUGUAAAAACUUUUUGUUCUGUUAGCUGAUGUUUGUAGCCCCCAGUCACGUUCCUCAGGCUUACUUGAUCUAUUAUGACUUUUUCACGUAGACCCUUUAGAGUUGUAAGCCCUUAAAAGGGCUAGGAAUUUCUUUUUCCGGGAGCUCGGCUCUUAAGACACCAGUCUGCCAACGCUCCUGGCUGAAUAAAAAAACCUCUUCCUUCUUU
rnacentral:lncRNA from 1 species